rnacentral:rRNA from 1 species
GUAGGUGGCAAGCGUUGUCCGGAAUUAUUGGGCGUAAAGCGCGCGCAGGCGGGGUUCGUUUAAGUCUGAUGUGAAAGCCACGGGCUCAACCGUGGAGGGUCAUUGGAAACUGGAGAACUUGAGUACAGAAGAGGAAAGCGGAAUUCCACGUGUAGCGGUGAAAUGCGUAGAGAUGUGGAGGAACACCAGUGGCGAAGGCGGCUUUCUGGUCUGUAACUGACGCUGAGGCGCGAAAGCGUGGGGAGCAAACAGGAUUAGAUACCCUGGUAGUCCACGCCGUAAACGAUGAGUGCUAAGUGUUAGGGGGUUUCCGCCCCUUAGUGCCGCAGCUAACGCAUUAAGCACUCCGCCUGGGGAGUACGGCCGCAAGGCUG